rnacentral:rRNA from 1 species
AUUGAACGCUGGCGGCAGGCCUAACACAUGCAAGUCGAGCGGAGGAAGGGAGCUUGCUCCUGGAUUCAGCGGCGGACGGGUGAGUAAUGCCUAGGAAUCUGCCUGGUAGUGGGGGAUAACGUCCGGAAACGGGCGCUAAUACCGCAUACGUCCUGAGGAAGAAAGUGGGGGAGCUUCGGACCUCACGCUAUCAGAUGAGCCUAGGUCGGAUUAGCUAGUUGGUGGGGUAAAGGCCUACCAAGGCGACGAUCCGUAAUUGGUCUGAGAGGAUGAUCAGUCACACUGGAACUGAGACACGGUCCAGACUCCUACGGGAGGCAGCAGUGGGGAAUAUUGGACAAUGGGCGAAAGCCUGAUCCAGCCAUGCCGCGUGUGUGAAGAAGGUCUUCGGAUUGUAAAGCACUUUAAGUUGGGAGGAAGGGCAGUAAGUUAAUACCUUGCUGUUUUGACGUUACCGACAGAAUAAGCACCGGCUAACUUCGUG